GAUGAACGCUGGCGGCGUGCCUAAUACAUGCAAGUCGAGCGAACAGACGAGGAGCUUGCUCCUCUGACGUUAGCGGCGGACGGGUGAGUAACACGUGGAUAACCUACCUAUAAGACUGGGAUAACUUCGGGAAACCGGAGCUAAUACCGGAUAAUAUAUUGAACCGCAUGGUUCAAUAGUGAAAGACGGUUUUGCUGUCACUUAUAGAUGGAUCCGCGCCGCAUUAGCUAGUUGGUAAGGUAACGGCUUACCAAGGCAACGAUGCGUAGCCGACCUGAGAGGGUGAUCGGCCACACGGGAACUGAGACACGGUCAAGACUCCUACGGGAGGCAGCAGUAGGGAAUCUUCCGCAAAGGGCGAAAGCUUGACGGAGCAACGCCGCGUGAGUGAUGAAGGUCUUCGGAUCGUAAAACUCUGUUAUUAGGGAAGAACAAAUGUGUAAGUAACUAUGCACGUCUUGACGGUACCUAAUCAGAAAGCCACGGCUAACUACGUG
rnacentral:rRNA from 1 species